rfam:Ascaris suum AG06455, whole genome shotgun sequence.
GCCAUGAUAGCUCAGUAGGGAGAGCGUUAGACUGAAGAUGUAAAGGUCGCCGGUUCGAUCCCGGUCGUGGCA